UCGCACGAGAACGUUCUGGCUUUGCCAGAACAAGUACAGUGGCGGACGGGUGCGUAUCGCGUAGAUAACCUGCCCUUAGGCGCGGGACAAUCACGGGAAACCGUGGCUAAUACCGCACGUCGUCUGGGCCCCGCAUGGGGACCAGAUGAAAGCUUGGGGUUACCCAGGCGCCUUGGGAUGGGUCUGCGUUGGAUUAGCUUGUUGGUGAGGCAACGGCUCACCAAGGCAACGAUCCAUAGCUGGUCUGAGAGGACGAUCAGCCACACUGGGACUGAGACACGGCCCAGACUCCUACGGGAGGCAGCAGUGGGGAAUCUUGCACAAUGGGGUCACCCCUGAUGCAGCCAUGCCGCGUGGAGGAAGACACCCCUAUGGGGCGUAAACUCCUUUUCUGAAUGAAGAAACCCCUGUAGGUUCAGGGCGCGACGGUAGUUCAGGAAUAAGCACCGGCUAACUCCGUGCCAGCAGCCGCGGUAAUACGGAGGGUGCAAGCGUUGUCCGGAAUCACUGGGUGUAAAGGGUGUGCAGGCGGGGCAACAAGUCGGAUGUGAAACCCCAUGGCUCAACCAUGGAGGUGCAUUCGAAACUGUUGCUCUUGAGUCCCGGAGAGGCUGUCGGAAUUCGUGGUGUAGCGGUGAAAUGCGUAGAUAUCACGAGGAACACCAGAGGCGAAAGCGGGCAGCUGGACGGGUACUGACGCUCAGGCACGAAAGCGUGGGGAGCAAACAGGAUUAGAUACCC
rnacentral:rRNA from 1 species